AGCCUAGGAAUCUGCCUGGUAGUGGGGGAUAACGUUCGGAAACGGACGCUAAUACCGCAUACGUCCUACGGGAGAAAGCAGGGGACCUUCGGGCCUUGCGCUAUCAGAUGAGCCUAGGUCGGAUUAGCUAGUUGGUGAGGUAAUGGCUCACCAAGGCGACGAUCCGUAACUGGUCUGAGAGGAUGAUCAGUCACACUGGAACUGAGACACGGUCCAGACUCCUACGGGAGGCAGCAGUGGGGAAUAUUGGACAAUGGGCGAAAGCCUGAUCCAGCCAUGCCGCGUGUGUGAAGAAGGUCUUCGGAUUGUAAAGCACUUUAAGUUGGGAGGAAGGGCAUUAACCUAAUACGUUAGUGUUUUGACGUUACCGACAGAAUAAGCACCGGCUAACUCUGUGCCAGCAGCCGCGGUAAUACAUAUGGUGCAAGCUGUUUUUCGGUAUUUACU
rnacentral:rRNA from 1 species